UCGGGGUGGGGGUGGGGGUUAAAAAUCUCGUCCUCCGUUUGGGUGCCCACUUCUUUGUCUGCGAAGCAAAGGGCUGGGAUUCAGUCCGGACAGCCCCUUAAAGACCCAGACAGGGGACGCCUCUGGUUUCAGCAGCUCACUCCGCUGAGUUAUUGAUUGCAGGCAGCAACAAUCCCUCCAGAUGAUUUGUGUGGAAAGUGAAUCCGCGCCGGCUAGGCGUUCAGCAGAGGCGCAACAGCCGCAACGCCAUCCAGUUAAUUGCCGGGCCUCCCCUGCAACACCGCUCUCACCACCUAUGUACUCCUUUUUCUGCCCGUGUCCACUUCCCCCCACCCACUUUUCUUCGGGCGGACGGUGCUGAGGGGGCGGGGGCUCCCUCCCGGGAGUGUUUCUAGAGCUCCGAGGCAGCUAGUAGGGGUUUGACAAUCCACAUGUUUAAAGUCUAACAGAAAGAAAAAAAUCACUGGAUGUGAAGUUGGGAGCCAGAGCUGAGUCUGCAUCUGUGUCCUCGUGUUGGUGACCUUGGGGCACCACUUUCAGAUAAAAACAUAGACCUGAAUGGCAUCAUCCAGUAUCCAAGGAAACCAUCGUGGUUCCUUGCUAAGCAUAAAAGGUAAAGACAUCUCUCUUUCAUUUUCUCUGCUGAGUUAGAACCUUCAUAGUCAAUGUCUAACCGCAGGCAAUUUUGUUUUCUCACAUGACAAGUCAACUUGUACUAUUUAUGCGUUUCCAUGUUUCUGUCUUUUUAUAUAUGUUACAAAAUGCAUCUUUCUGAAUUGAGAGAUGAGAAGUUUGUGUUAGACUAAGGAAUUUGCUGGAAUUUUAGAAGGGUGUAAGAGUAACGGCCUCUUCACCUGGUAGAAGGGCCUGGCUAGGAAGUGAUUUUUUUAAUGGUUGUUAACAGACUUCACAACUGUGGCGUUUGAGGCCUGAAGUACUGCCCUCUAAAAUAGGAAUUCCUUGCCACAAAAUAAAGGUUGGGCCAUUGCUGGGUAAACUUGUCAGCAGAGCAGAGUUAGGAUAGAUCUUUAUAAAGGAAGAAAAUGCAAAUCAAAGGGAAAGACUGGCUAAUGUUCUAAUUCCCUAUCUUGAGGAAAUAGAAUCUUUUGAAAUUUCAUUCUUCCUGUAGCGAGAGGAAAAAGAAAAUCUAUGCUACAAUGCUUCUGGCAGCAUUUUAACUAUUUACAUUAGAAUAUAGAUUUUCCAGAAAAGUCAUUUAAUUUUAAUUCAACCUCUUAGAGAAAUGAAAAAUGGCUUGAUAGAAAUAGAUUGAUAUAUGCAUAUCCAUUCGUCAGUAGUGGUCUCUCUAACAAAGACCAUCAUUAUUGAGUCGAACUUUCUGUGAUGAUGGUCAUGUUCUAUAUCUGCCCUGUCCAAUGUGGUAACUGGUAGACACAUGUGGCUACUGAGCACUUGAAAUAUGGCUACUGC